CCAGACUCCUACGGGAGGCAGCAGUGGGGAAUAUUGCACAAUGGGGGAAACCCUGAUGCAGCGACGCCGCGUGAGUGAAGAAGUAUUUCGGUAUGUAAAGCUCUAUCAGCAGGGAAGAAAUAGCGACCUUUGGGUCGCCAGACGGUACCUGAUUAAGAAGCCCCGGCUAACUACGUGCCAGCAGCCGCGGUAAUACGUAGGGGGCAAGCGUUAUCCGGAUUUACUGGGUGUAAAGGGAGCGUAGACGGCAGCGCAAGUCUGAAGUGAAAUGCCGGGGCUCAACCCCGGGACUGCAUUUGGAACUGUGUGGCUGGAGUGUCGGAGAGGCAGGCGGAAUUCCUAGUGUAGCGGUGAAAUGCGUAGAUAUUAGGAGGAACACCAGUGGCGAAGGCGGCCUGCUGGACGAUGACUGACGUUGAGGCUCGAAAGCGUGGGGAGCAAACAGGAUUAGAUACCCCCGUA
rnacentral:rRNA from 1 species